rnacentral:rRNA from 1 species
UAGAGUUUGAUCAUGGCUCAGAUUGAACGCUGGCGGCAUGCUUUACACAUGCAAGUCGAGCGGCAGCGCGGGGGCAACCCUGGCGGCGAGCGGCGAACGGGUGAGUAAUWCAUCGGAACGUACCCCGUAGUGGGGGAUAACGCCGGGAAACCGGCGCUAAUACCGCAUAUGCUCUACGGAGGAAAGUGGGGGACCUGCAAGGGCCUCAUGCUAUGGGAGCGGCCGAUGUCCGAUUAGCUAGUUGGUGGGGUAAAGGCUUACCAAGGCGACGAUCGGUAGCUGGUCUGAGAGGAUGAUCAGCCACACUGGGACUGAGACACGGCCCAGACUCCUACGGGAGGCAGCAGUGGGGAAUUUUGGACAAUGGGGGSCAACCCUGAUCCAGCCAUGCCGCGUGCGGGAAGAAGGCCUUCGGGUUGUAAACCGCUUUUGUCUGGGAAGAAAAGGCGCUCUUGAAUACGGGGCGUUCUUGACGGUACUGGAAGAAUAAGCACCGGCUAACUACGUGCCAGCAGCCGCGGUAAUAC